UGUCGUCUGCCGCAUUCUGUGAGCAAUGGCGAGACCGUGUAAGAAAAGAGAUUUGAACUUUCCAAAAUAGGUAACAGAGACCAAGUCUUUCAGUCUAUUCAUGAAUAGUAAAUAGCCCCAUCUUUUGACAAAACGAGGACUGGUUCCCACCAGACAGCAGGAUGUGGAAGUGGUCGUAUCCUUGCAAUGUAACUAAAGAUAGACAGCCUGUCACUAGACAAUGUCAAUCAGUAAGAGGUAAUGAGAUUAGGAGAGUGUCUAGACCACAAGGGUAUACAAUCAAGUAUGCAGGACCCCCUUGGAGAACAGUUUAUGUGACCUAAAGUGGCUGCAUUCGUAAAGGUGGCAUUUGGUGCACAUGCCCCUUGCCCACUUGAUAUGCUACUGUAAUACAAAAGGCUGGUAAAAGUAAGUUUUUCUAUGCUUAUUCAACUAAAAAUUGUGUUAUGGUGGACUCAGCCUUUUGGAUGUGCUGUUGAAUUUGCUACAAUCAUGACAGGAGUUGAUCCUAUUUUGAAGCCUCUGUACAGGUAAAGUCUGGAUUGACCGAUUGACCUGUUUGUGUCGUUCCUCAAAUUUUGCCUCCAAAUUUAUAAAUCAAAAGGUAAUAGGGCCUAUAUGGAUUUUUCAUAUUAUUGGUUGAUAGGUAGAACCCUCCUAUAUAAACACACCAAGGUAGAAUUUUGAGACCAUAUUUAUAUGAUUAUGAAUAUGAAAUUUUUAUUGUGAAAUUUCACUAUUGAUAAGUAA